GUGGCCGUCGCAUUGUAUGGCCUACUGUACCGACAUCGACCAUGUCUGUCUCAACCGGGAACUCCUAUGCAGGUGCUGUUGUCAAAUAAGCCAGUGUAUCGUAAGCAGCAGUGACAAAAAUGGGUGCUCAAUGAAAGGUGAACCAUUCAGUGUUCUCAACGAUUUUACUUGCCACAGAUUUCCACAGGUGUCCAGCAGUGGCAACAGUUACGAAAACAGACACAUGGCACAUUCAAACGACACAUUCCUUUUAUGCGCCAGACAACACAACAAAACAGUGUCUUUGACACGUGUGGGUCUUUGAGCCAAUAUUGCUGUCCUCAGUUGAAGAUCGCAGAAGACAAAAACUUCUAAUACUGACAAAGUCUAUACAACACCCCCUACUACUUGUCUUCUCCUGACGCAUCUUCGCUGUGUUGAGGAGAACCUUCCCGAUUAAAACACAUGCUCUGA